rnacentral:rRNA from 1 species
GACGAACGCUGGCGGCGUGCCUAAUACAUGCAAGUAGAACGCUGAAGAGAGGAGCUUACUCUUCUUGGAUGAGUUGCGAACGGGUGAGUAACGCGUAGGUAACCUGCCUUGUAGCGGGGGAUAACUAUUGGAAACGAUAGCUAAUACCGCAUAACAAUGGAUGACACAUGUCAUUUAUUUGAAAGGGGCAAUUGCUCCACUACAAGAUGGACCUGCGUUGUAUUAGCUAGUAGGUGAGGUAAUGGCUCACCUAGGCGACGAUACAUAGCCGACCUGAGAGGGUGAUCGGCCACAAUGGGACUGAGACACGGCCCAGACUCCUACGGGAGGCAGCAGUAGGGAAUCUUCGGCAAUGGGGGCAACCCUGACCGAGCAACGCCGCGUGAGUGAAGAAGGUUUUCGGAUCGUAAAGCUCUGUUGUAAGUCAAGAACGGGUGUGAGAGUGGAAAGUUCACACUGUGACGGUAGCUUACCAGAAAGGGACGGCUAACUACGUG